rnacentral:misc_RNA from 1 species
GAUGAAGAACGUAGCGAAAUGCGAUAAGUAAUGUGAAUUGCAGAAUUCAGUGAAUCAUCGAGUCUUUGAACGCACAUUGCGCCCCCUGGUAUUCCGGGGGGCAUGCCUGUCCGAGCGUCAUUGCCGCCCUCAAGCUCGGCUUGUGUGUUGGGCCCCCGCCCCCCGGCUUCGGGGGGCGGGCCCGAAAGGCAGCGGCGGCACCGCGUCCGGUCCUCGAGCGUAUGGGGCUUCGUCACCCGAUCUGUAGGCCCGGCCGGCGCCCGCCGGCGACCCCAAUCAAUCUUUCCAGGUUGACCUCGGAUCAGGUAGGGAUACCCGCUGAACUUAAGCAUAUCAAUAAGCGGAGGA